rnacentral:lncRNA from 1 species
AAAAUAUAGGGGAAGGCCCAAAUCCCUCCCCCUCAAACUCGUCCCUCUCACCCUCUCAAACCAGUCGCACGCCUCCUUCUCCCUCUCACUCUCGACUCGCCUUCAGACGAGGCUCCGCCGCCGCGACUCCGGCGCGGCCGCGCCUGGCCGAGGGCGGCGCCUCUCGUCCAUCUCACUCUCUCCUCUCGAAACUCCUCUCUCUCAAAAAUCAGAACGCCUCUCUCUC